AGUUUAUUUCGGUAGAAUUCUUAGUGGCGAACGGGUGAGUAACGCGUAGGCAACCUGCCCUUUAGACGGGGACAACAUUCCGAAAGGAGUGCUAAUACCGGAUGUGAUCAUCGUGCCGCAUGGCAGGAUGAAGAAAGAUGGCCUCUACAAGUAAGCUAUCGCUAAAGGAUGGGCCUGCGUCUGAUUAGCUAGUUGGUAGUGUAACGGACUACCAAGGCGAUGAUCAGUAGCCGGUCUGAGAGGAUGAACGGCCACAUUGGGACUGAGACACGGCCCAAACUCCUACGGGAGGCAGCAGUGGGGAAUCUUCCGCAAUGGACGAAAGUCUGACGGAGCAACGCCGCGUGAGUGAUGAAGGAUUUCGGUCUGUAAAGCUCUGUUGUUUAUGACGAACGUGCAGUGUGUGAACAAUGCAUUGCAAUGACGGUAGUAAACGAGGAAGCCACGGCUAACUACGUGCCAGCAGCCGCGGUAAUACGUAGGUGGCGAGCGUUGUCCGGAAUUAUUGGGCGUAAAGAGCAUGUAGGCGGCUUAAUAAGUCGAGCGUGAAAAUGCGGGGCUCAACCCCGUAUGGCGCUGGAAACUGUUAGGCUUGAGUGCAGGAGAGGAAAGGGGAAUUCCCAGUGUAGCGGUGAAAUGCGUAGAUAUUGGGAGGAACACCAGUGGCGAAGGCGCCUUUCUGGACUGUGUCUGACGCUGAGAUGCGAAAGCCAGGGUAGCGAACGAGAUUAGAUACCCCGGUAGUCCUGGCCGUAAACGAUG
rnacentral:rRNA from 1 species